GAAAUGCGAUAAGUAAUGUGAAUUGCAGAAUUCCGUGAAUCAUCGAGUCUUUGAACGCACAUUGCGCUCUCUGGUAUUCCGGGGAGCAUGCCUGUCCGAGCGUCAUUACGCACCCUCAAGCCCGGCUUGUGUGAUGGGCCCUGGCGUCUCGUUCGCGAGACGGGCCCGAAAGGCAGCGGCGGCGUCGACCCGAUGAGCCCGAGCGUAUGGGGACUUUUGUCACACGUUUGCGGUGCGGACCGGCGCCUGCUUGACUUUUCUGAUUAUCCAGGUUGACCUCGGAUCAGGUAGGGAUACCCGCUGAACUUAAGC
rnacentral:misc_RNA from 1 species